UGGCUCAGAUGGCAAGGGCAUCUAGCUCCUGACCAGAAGGUCCUGGGUUCAAUCCCAG
rfam:Lepisosteus oculatus linkage group LG1, whole genome shotgun sequence.